rnacentral:rRNA from 1 species
ACACAUGCAGUCGAACGAUGAACCUCACUUGUGGGGGGAUUAGUGGCGAACGGGUGAGUAACACGUGAGUAACCUGCCCUUAACUCUGGGAUAAGCCUGGGAAACUGGGUCUAAUACCGGAUAUGACUCCUCAUCGCAUGGUGGGGGGUGGAAAGCUUUUUGUGGUUUUGGAUGGACUCGCGGCCUAUCAGCUUGUUGGUGAGGUAAUGGCUCACCAAGGCGACGACGGGUAGCCGGCCUGAGAGGGUGACCGGCCACACUGGGACUGAGACACGGCCCAGACUCCUACGGGAGGCAGCAGUGGGGAAUAUUGCACAAUGGGCGCAAGCCUGAUGCAGCGACGCCGCGUGAGGGAUGACGGCCUUCGGGUUGUAAACCUCUUUCAGUAGGGAAGAAGCGAAAGUGACGGUACCUGCAGAAGAAGCGCCGGCUAACUACGUGCCAGCAGCCGCGGUAAUACGUAGGGCGCAAGCGUUAUCCGGAAUUAUUGGGCGUAAAGAGCUCGUAGGCGGUUUGUCGCGUCUGCCGUGAAAGUCCGGGGCUCAACUCCGGAUCUGCGGUGGGUACGGGCAGACUAGAGUGAUGUAGGGGAGACUGGAAUUCCUGGUGUAGCGGUGAAAUGCGCAGAUAUCAGGAGGAACACCGAUGGCGAAGGCAGGUCUCUGGGCAUUAACUGACGCUGAGGAGCGAAAGCAUGGGGAGCGAACAGGAUUAGAUACCCUGGUAGUCCAUGCCGUAAACGUUGGGCACUAGGUGUGGGGACAUUCCACGUUUUCCGCGCCGUAGCUAACGCAUUAAGUGCCCGCCU